AGAGUUUGAUCAUGGCUCAGAUUGAACGCUGGCGGCAGGCCUAACACAUGCAAGUCGAGCGGUAGCACAGAGAGCUUGCUCUCGGGUGACGAGCGGCGGACGGGUGAGUAAUGUCUGGGAAACUGCCUGAUGGAGGGGGAUAACUACUGGAAACGGUAGCUAAUACCGCAUAAUGUCGCAAGACCAAAGUGGGGGACCUUCGGGCCUCAUGCCAUCAGAUGUGCCCAGAUGGGAUUAGCUAGUAGGUGGGGUAACGGCUCACCUAGGCGACGAUCCCUAGCUGGUCUGAGAGGAUGACCAGCCACACUGGAACUGAGACACGGUCCAGACUCCUACGGGAGGCAGCAGUGGGGAAUAUUGCACAAUGGGCGCAAGCCUGAUGCAGCCAUGCCGCGUGUGUGAAGAAGGCCUUCGGGUUGUAAAGCACUUUCAGCGGGGAGGAAGGCGAUAAGGUUAAUAACCUUGUCGAUUGACGUUACCCGCAGAAGAAGCACCGGCUAACUCCGUGCCAGCAGCCGCGGUAAUACGGAGGGUGCAAGCGUUAAUCGGAAUUACUGGGCGUAAAGCGCACGCAGGCGGUCUGUCAAGUCGGAUGUGAAAUCCCCGGGCUCAACCUGGGAACUGCAUUCGAAACUGGCAGGCUAGAGUCUUGUAGAGGGGGGUAGAAUUCCAGGUGUAGCGGUGAAAUGCGUAGAGAUCUGGAGGAAUACCGGUGGCGAAGGCGGCCCCCUGGACAAAGACUGACGCUCAGGUGCGAAAGCGUGGGGAGCAAACAGGAUUAGAUACCCUGGUAGUCCACGCCGUAAACGAUGUCGAUUUGGAGGUUGUGCCCUUGAGGCGUGGCUUCCGGAGCUAACGCGUUAAAUCGACCGCCUGGGGAGUACGGCCGCAAGGUUAAAACUCAAAUGAAUUGACGGGGGCCCGCACAAGCGGUGGAGCAUGUGGUUUAAUUCGAUGCAACGCGAAGAACCUUACCUGGUCUUGACAUCCACAGAACUUUGCAGAGAUGGUUUGGUGCCUUCGGGAACUGUGAGACAGGUGCUGCAUGGCUGUCGUCAGCUCGUGUUGUGAAAUGUUGGGUUAAGUCCCGCAACGAGCGCAACCCUUAUCCUUUGUUGCCAGCGGUUCGGCCGGGAACUCAAAGGAGACUGCCAGUGAUAAACUGGAGGAAGGUGGGGAUGACGUCAAGUCAUCAUGGCCCUUACGACCAGGGCUACACACGUGCUACAAUGGCAUAUACAAAGAGAAGCGACCUCGCGAGAGCAAGCGGACCUCAUAAAGUAUGUCGUAGUCCGGAUUGGAGUCUGCAACUCGACUCCAUGAAGUCGGAAUCGCUAGUAAUCGUAGAUCAGAAUGCUACGGUGAAUACGUUCCCGGGCCUUGUACACACCGCCCGUCACACCAUGGGAGUGGGUUGCAAAAGAAGUAGGUAGCUUAACCUUCGGGAGGGCGCUUACCACUUUGUGAUUCAUGACUGGGGUGAAGUCGUAACAAGGUAACCGUAGGGGAACCUGCGGUUGGAUCACCU
rnacentral:rRNA from 1 species